rnacentral:rRNA from 1 species
CAGUAGCCACGGGAAUACAGAGGGUGCGAGCGUUAAUCGGAUUUACUGGGCGUAAAGCGUGCGUAGGCGGCUUCUUAAGUCGGAUGUGAAAUCCCUGAGCUUAACUUAGGAAUUGCAUUCGAUACUGGGAAGCUAGAGUAUGGGAGAGGAUGGUAGAAUUCCAGGUGUAGCGGUGAAAUGCGUAGAGAUCUGGAGGAAUACCGAUGGCGAAGGCAGCCAUCUGGCCUAAUACUGACGCUGAGGUACGAAAGCAUGGGGAGCAAACAGGAUUAGAUACCCAGUAGUCCCUGUCUCUUAUACA